CUUUUUUCAAGAAAGUGACUGCACCAGCUACAGCAGACCGGCUGCUGCUACCACCAAAACUCUUUUUGAACCAACCCGAGACGACGAUAAGAGCGCCGAUUUAGAGCGACUGCCUGCAGCAUCGAUUUUGCGGUUAAGCAGCAGGAGAAGGAGGAGGAACAAUAACCAUUCUUUGUAGCCAAGAAAGAGAAAGAAAAAAGAGAUCACCUUAAAAGGUGAUGAGGAGAUUGAUCGUUCUUUUUUUUUCUCCAUCUCACGUGAUGGCGCCAUGUGCAAAGAUUGCGGAAGCAUACGGUCGCUCCCCCCUUAUUUUUUUUUUUUAUUUUUGGUUGUUCUUAUAUCAAUCACGAAGUUGUGUGAUGGCGAAGCGGUCGGCCAUCACACCUCCCCCACAAACUUCUCCUCCUUCCUCCUCUUCUUGGGUACAGGUGGAGGAUAUGGGGUACACCUAGACCACUAGCUACUAUUUACAAUCACUGCCAAAUGGGAUGAAUGGAAAGAGAAAGAGAGAGAUAGAAGACUGUAGACAGUGCCCUAUCCUAUGACUACCUCUCUCUCUCUCUCUAGGGAAGACAUUCACGUUUUCUUGUUCCUGUUUCCCUACCUCUUGCUCGAAUGCGAGUGCACUUUUGGGGCUGGGUAUUUUCUUUCCAAAGAUAUAAAACCAACCCAUAAUGCAAUCAGCUUCAACAGUUGAAUCUCGUCGCCAGAUUGUGCCCGCACGCUCUUUCUCCCUUUUUGUUCUCCAAUUCGUCGAUUUAGUAACCAGUGACCGAGUGACAAACAAAACAACACACAAGUUCCCAAUCGAAACACUCAAUCCGUUCGAUAUUCUAAACCAAUCGACGCAUCGUUACGACGACAGAUUUCUCCCAAUUUGAACAAGCGAAAAAACCCGUUGGAAUCGAAAUGAAUGGCACCAUAAGCAGGAGGACGUGUUCGACCCAGCACCAGCACAACGGCGGCGGGAUGACGACUCAGAGCGGACAGAAAAUGUCGACCAUGGCCAUCAUGACGCUGUUGAUUUGGCUGGCGAUGACGGUGGACGUGGCCCAGCCGGCCGACACUCUUUACCUCUGCAUGAAAAACUGCGAGCAGUGCAAGAGCAUGUACGGCGCCUACUUCGAGGGCGAUCUCUGCGCAAAGAGCUGCUUCAGACUCAAAGGCGCCUUCAUACCCGACUGCAUCGACGUCGCCUCCAUCGGACAAUUCCUCAACAAAAACGAAUGAACACACCUCUUCUGUCAUUUCAUUUUUUUAAUAGCCGACAAGAUCUAGAAGAAAA